rnacentral:lncRNA from 1 species
AUGGUGACCUGGCUCACGACUUUCCGCGGGGACCUGAGCCCCUCUCUUCCCUCGCGGCGGGGCCAGGCAGAGGCUGGAGGCUGCCGCGGUGGAAAUUGUGCCAGGGGAGGCCUACUGCUUCCCCGCUACCCACCGGGGCCUAGGGCGCGGGGGCUCCUUCUGCAGCUGUGCGGGGCAGGACUUUGCUUCUCUGGGAAGAGGAGGAGGUGGGAGGGCGGGGGCACCAGAGAGAGGAAGGCGGACAUGGCCGGUCUUGGCCAGGAAAGUGGCCAUCAGGCUCUCCACGCUUUCCUCCCUGCGUUCGCCGUUCCUGCCUCUUGCCCCCUUCUCUUUCCGCGGGGGUGGAAGGCGGUGGACUUCUUGGAAAACGUCCCUGUUUGUCAGGAAGACAGGAAGGACUGCUCCUGCCACGCCUCAGUCACGGAGGUCAGUGGUUCCUCUGGAAGGUUCCUGCUCCCGCUCAGAGGCAGAGCCAGACAGCGGAUCUGCCCUGUGCCCCAGAGUCGGUCUUUCAGUGCGAGGGCAGAGAGGGGUGCUUCCCGGUGCAGGUGCGCCCUGUGCAGUGGCGCGGAGCCACCUGGAGCUCGGCGUGGCUGGGGUUUCCAGUGGAUGCUCCGCAUCCGAGCCUGCUGCUCACCUGUUCUGCAGGUCCCAGCAGCUUGUGGCAAUGGGGACGGAAAGCGUACUACACGAAGGCCACGCUGGAGGCGCCAGGGUGUGGGGAGCACAGCCCAGGGCUCCACCCUGAGAAGAGACAGAGAAGUGCAGGGGCGCGGGGUGGGGGUGGGGGGUAGAUCAGGGCGCCUGGAGCCCACUGUGCCUGAAACAGCCACGAAGGGGCCUGGGGGCAGUGUGGCUGCAGCAGGAGCUGGGCAGUCAGGAGUAGGACACAGGCCGGGCGGACAGCAGGCGGACCCAGGCACGGCCGCCCACCGCAGCGCAGCCCCUCCUGCACAGCUCUCUGGGCCAGCCCUGGCAAGGGUCCCAGGUAUCCACCUCGGUGACCGCGGGCCUGGACUCCCCCCUCUGCUGUCCCCCACCCCAUUCACUUUUCUGUUCACAGCAAGCCCCCGAGCGCAUCCCACUGUCACCCUGGGAAAUAGCGGCCACCAGGCAGGUCCGGGCCUGGUGGGACACAGUUCAGACACCCGGGGUUCCGAGUAG